UACGAAGGGUGCAAACGUUGCUCGGAAUUAUUGGGCGUAAAGCGCACGUAGGCGGCUUCUUAAGUCGGUGGUGAAAUCCUGGAGCUCAACUCCAGAACUGCCUUCGAUACUGGGAGCUCGAGUCCGGGAGAGGUGAGUGGAACUGCGAGUGUAGAGGUGAAAUUCGUAGAUAUUCGCAAGAACACCAGUGGCGAAGGCGGCUCACUGGCCCGGUACUGACGCUGAGGUGCGAAAGC
rnacentral:rRNA from 1 species